rnacentral:snRNA from 1 species
GUGCUUGCGUCGGCAGCACAUAUACUAACGUUGGAACGAUACAGAGAUUAGCAUGGCCCCUGUGCAAGGAUGACACGCAAAUUCGUGAGGCGUUCCAUAUACUU